rnacentral:piRNA from 1 species
UUCGUUUCUUUAAUGAGGAUACUGAGUC